CACGUCCUUGGUCAUCUCCACCAGUACCUUCCGCGCGGGACAACACCGGCGUCAACCACUAGUACCCGGUCGUCGGGGCGUUGUGGUACCUGAGCAGUAGGAGGCGAAGGGCACACUCGCCGGGGGAAGGGUUGGGCGCAGCUGGAUGGAGCAGGAGGUUCUCGCUGGUGGAGGAGCAGGGGCGGCGCGCUCGCCGGCCAACGCGCUCGCCGGCAGAGGCGCUUGCCGAGGGAAGAUCUGGGGCGUGCUCGUCGGGGAAGGAGCUGGGAUGGCGGCGUGCUUGACAGGGGAGAAGCUGGGGAGGCGGCGUGCUUGCUAGGGGAGAAGCUGGGGCAGCGACGCUCUCGCCGAAGGAGGAGCUGGGAAAGUGCGCUCGCUGGAGGAGUAAUGGAGUAGCAGGCGGCGUGCUUCUCGCUAGGAACGGAGGAAAGUGGGAGUUGGAUAACGAAGAGGAAGGAAAGUUUGUGUGGCCAGCCUUAGUAUAAGGAACCAGUGGGACCCAUCCACGUGCGGCUUGAACAAAGACCAAUUUUCCGGCCGGAUCGGUCGACUGAUCGGCAGCGUUUUCCUUUACCCUACCCCUCCCUGAAAGUAGCCACGAGGAGAGUAGCGCCGCCUCCCUUGUCCGCGUUCUGCGCCCCCGCCUCCGCUGCGAUCGGAAACCCUCGCUGCCCCGCCUCCGCCGCCGCCCGCCCGCCAACCCUCGCGCGGCCGUCCACUGCGCCGCCCUUCCACCCUUAUUGCCCGCCUAAAGCCAGGUCGAUGAAGUCCAGCCGGCGCUGCUUCGCCCGCGCGAGUCUCCCAACAGUACGCCCUCGUACCCUUGAGCCACCUCCCGCCGCAGCAGUGCACCUGGACGUCCUCGCCGCACAAUACAAACAUCCGCGCCGGAGUUCCUGAACUAGCAGAUCACCGCAGGCGGCCGCUUCCCUGCAUAUUCGACCUCCACGGCGCCUGUACCCGCUGCGCGGAAGUUCCGUCUUGAUUGCCCUCACGCCGGGUGCCGCAGAUGAAAUGAGAUGUAUCUACAAGAGGUGGUUUGAUCAGCAAGAUUGGCAACAGGGGUUGUUUCAUCAUCUACAUACCCAAAAAAGUUUAGAGAGACGGUCUUUAAACAAAAUCUUCAGCGAGUAUAUUAGUUUGUUCCGUCAAUCUUGUUGACAAAGAUGCUAUAUAUGGCAUGUUUGCUCGAAGUGUUCAAAGUGAGAAAUGUUUGAUUUUAAAUUCUUGAACUAUAGCAUGUGUGUUCCAAGUGUUGACUUGUGGUUCAGAGGGUUAUAUUUAAUGUUUUCACAUACACGUAUGCUUCAGGAGGUUGAAGAAGCCAAA